rnacentral:rRNA from 1 species
UGAGGAAUCUUGCGCAAUGGGGGAAACCCUGACGCAGCGACGCCGCGUGAGUGAGGAAGGUCUUCGGAUCGUAAAGCUCUGUCGGGUGGAAAGAAGUGGGGAAAGGUGAACAGCCUUUCUCCUUGACGGUACCACCGAAGGAAGCACCGGCUAACUCCGUGCCAGCAGCCGCGGUAAUACGGAGGGUGCGAGCGUUGUUCGGAAUCAUUGGGCGUAAAGAGCGUGUAGGCGGCUUGGCAAGUCGGAUGUGAAAUCCCUGGGCUCAACCCAGGAAGUGCAUUUGAAACUGCGCUGCUGGAGUAUGGGAGAGGGAAGUGGAAUUCCUGGUGUAGAGGUGAAAUUCGUAGAUAUCAGGAGGAACACCCGUGGCGAAGGCGACUUCCUGGCCCAAUACUGACGCUGAGACGCGAGAGCGUGGGGAGCAAACAG